AGUCAAGUAAUUAAGUGCAUGUGGUGGAUGCCUUGGCAGUCAGAGGCGAUGAAAGACGUGAUAGCCUGCGAAAAGCUCCGGGGAGGCGGCAAAUAUCCUUUGAUCCGGAGAUGUCUGAAUGGGGGAACCCACCUACUUUAAGGUAGGUAUUGCAACAUGAAUACAUAGUGUUGCAAGGCGAACGAGGGGAAGUGAAACAUCUCAGUACCCUUAGGAAAAGAAAUCAAUUGAGAUUCCCUCAGUAGCGGCGAGCGAACGGGGAUCAGCCCAUUAAGUUAUGUGUGUUUUAGUGGAACGCUCUGGGAAGUGCGAACGUAGAGGGUGAUAUUCCCGUACACGAAAGGGCACACAUAAUGAUGACGAGUAGGGCGAGGCACGUGAAACCUUGUCUGAAUAUGGGGGGACCAUCCUCCAAGGCUAAAUACUCCUGACUGACCGAUAGUGAACCAGUACCGUGAGGGAAAGGCGAAAAGAACCCCUGUGAGGGGAGUGAAAUAGAUCCUGAAACCGCAUGCAUACAAGCAGUGGGAGCACCUUCGUGGUGUGACUGCGUACCUUUUGUAUAAUGGGUCAGCGACUUAUAUUCAGUAGCAAGGUUAACCGUAUAGGGGAGCCGUAGAGAAAUCGAGUCUUAAUAGGGCGUUUAGUUGCUGGGUAUAGACCCGAAACCAGGCGAUCUAUCCAUGAGCAGGUUGAAGGUUGGGUAACACUAACUGGAGGACCGAACCCACUGUCGUUGAAAAGCCAGGGGAUGACUUGUGGAUAGGGGUGAAAGGCUAAUCAAGCCUGGUGAUAGCUGGUUCUCCCCGAAAGCUAUUUAGGUAGCGCCUCGGACGAAUACCAUAGGGGGUAGAGCACUGUUUCGGCUAGGGGGUCAUCCCGACUUACCAAACCGAUGCAAACUCCGAAUACCUAUGAGUACUAUCCGGGAGACAGACUGCGGGUGCUAACGUCCGUAGUCAAGAGGAAAACAAUCCAGACCGCCAGCUAAGGCCCCAAAAUCAUAGUUAAGUGGGAAACGAUGUGGGAAGGCAUAGACAGCUAGGAGGUUGGCUUAGAAGCAGCCACCCUUUAAAGAAAGCGUAAUAGCUCACUAGUCGAGUCGGCCUGCGCGGAAGAUGUAACGGGGCUAAAACUAUGUGCCGAAGCUGCGGAUGUAUACUUUGUAUACGUGGUAGGGGAGCGUUCUGUAAGCCGAUGAAGGUGUGUUGAGAAGCAUGCUGGAGGUAUCAGAAGUGCGAAUGCUGACGUGAGUAACGACAAAACGGGUGAAAAACCCGUUCGCCGAAAGACCAAGGGUUCCAGUCCAACGUUAAUCGGGGCUGGGUGAGUCGACCCCUAAGGCGAGGCCGAAAGGCGUAGUCGAUGGGAAAAUGGUUAAUAUUCCAUUACUUCUGUGUAAUGCGAUGAGAGGACGGAGAAGGCUAAAUCAGCCUGGCGUUGGUUGUCCAGGUGAAAGGAUGUAGGCAUGUAUCUUAGGCAAAUCCGGGGUACUCUAUGCUGAGAUCUGAUAGCAAGCUGUACUUGUACAGCGAAGUGGUUGAUGCCAUGCUUCCAGGAAAAGUCUCUAAGCUUCAGUUACACAGGAAUCGUACCCGAAACCGACACAGGUGGUCAGGUCGAGUAGACCAAGGCGCUUGAGAGAACUCUGCUGAAGGAACUAGGCAAAAUGGUACCGUAACUUCGGGAGAAGGUACGCUGUUGUUGGUGAUGGAACUCGCUUCCUGAGCUGACGACAGCCGCAGAAACCAGGCCGCUGCAACUGUUUAUUAAAAACAUAGCACUCUGCAAACACGAAAGUGGACGUAUAGGGUGUGAUGCCUGCCCGGUGCUGGAAGGUUAAUUGAUGGGGUUAGCGUAAGCGAAGCUCUUGAUCGAAGCCCCAGUAAACGGCGGCCGUAACUAUAACGGUCCUAAGGUAGCGAAAUUCCUUGUCGGGUAAGUUCCGACCUGCACGAAUGGCAUAAUGAUGGCGGCGCUGUCUCCAGCAGAGGCUCAGUGAAAUCGAAAUCGCUGUGAAGAUGCAGUGUACCCGCGGCUAGACGGAAAGACCCCGUGAACCUUUACUGCAGCUUGACACUGAACUUUGACCUUACUUGUGUAGGAUAGGUGGGAGGCUUUGAAGCUGGAACGCUAGUUCCAGUGGAGCCGUCCUUGAAAUACCACCCCUGGUAAUGUUGAGGUUCUAACUCUGUCCCGUGAUCCGGGACGAGGACCGUGUCUGGUGGGUAGUUUGACUGGGGCGGUCUCCUCCUAAAGAGUAACGGAGGAGUACGAAGGUGCGCUCAGCGUGGUCGGAAAUCACGCGUAGAGUAUAAAGGCAAAAGCGCGCUUAACUGCGAGACCCACAAGUCGAGCAGGUACGAAAGUAGGUCUUAGUGAUCCGGUGGUUCUGUAUGGAAGGGCCAUCGCUCAACGGAUAAAAGGUACUCUGGGGAUAACAGGCUGAUACCGCCCAAGAGUUCAUAUCGACGGCGGUGUUUGGCACCUCGAUGUCGGCUCAUCUCAUCCUGGGGCUGAAGCAGGUCCCAAGGGUAUGGCUGUUCGCCAUUUAAAGAGGUACGCGAGCUGGGUUUAGAACGUCGUGAGACAGUUCGGUCCCUAUCUACCGUGGGCGCUGGAAAUUUGAGAGGAUCUGCUCCUAGUACGAGAGGACCAGAGUGGACGAACCUCUGGUGUACCGGUUGUGACGCCAGUCGCAUCGCCGGGUAGCUAUGUUCGGAAGGGAUAACCGCUGAAAGCAUCUAAGCGGGAAGCCUACCUCAAGAUAAGAUUUCCCUAGGACUUUAUGUCCUCUAAAGAGCCGUUCGAGACUAGGACGUUGAUAGGUUGGAUGUGGAAGCAUAGUGAUAUGUGAAGCUGACCAAUACUAAUUGCUCGUGAGGCUUGACUAU
rnacentral:rRNA from 1 species